CCUACGGGAGGCAGCAGUGAGGAAUAUUGGUCAAUGGACGAGAGUCUGAACCAGCCAAGUAGCGUGCAGGAUGACUGCCCUAUGGGUUGUAAACUUCUUUUAUAUGGGAAUAAAACGUUCCACGUGUGGGAUUUUGUAUGUACCAUAUGAAUAAGGAUCGGCUAACUCCGUGCCAGCAGCCGCGGUAAUACGGAGGAUCCGAGCGUUAUCCGGAUUUAUUGGGUUUAAAGGGAGCGUAGGUGGAUGGUUAAGUCAGUUGUGAAAGUUUGCGGCUCAACCGUAAAAUUGCAGUUGAAACUGGCAGUCUUGAGUACAGGAGAGGUGGGCGGAAUUCGUGGUGUAGCGGUGAAAUGCUUAGAUAUCACGAAGAACUCCGAUUGCGAAGGCAGUUCACUGGACUGCAACUGACACUGAGGCUCGAAAGUGUGGGUAUCAAACAGGAUUAGAUACCCGAGUAGUC
rnacentral:rRNA from 1 species